rnacentral:rRNA from 1 species
GACGAACGCUGGCGGCGUGCUUAACACAUGCAAGUCGAACGGAAAGGCCCCUUUGGGGGUACUCGAGUGGCGAACGGGUGAGUAACACGUGAGUAACCUGCCCUUGACUUCGGGAUAACGUCAGGAAACUGGGGCUAAUACCGGAUAGGAAUCCUUGCUGCAUGGUGGGGGUUGGAAAGCUUCGGCGGUUUUGGCUGGACUCGCGGCUUAUCAGCUUGUUGGUGGGGUAGUGGCUUACCAAGGCGUUGACGGGUAGCCGGCCUGAGAGGGCGACCGGCCACAUUGGGACUGAGAUACGGCCCAGACUGCGACGGGAGGCAGCAGUGGGGAAUAUUGCACAAUGGGCGGAAGCCUGAUGCAGCAACGCCGCGUGCGGGAUGACGGCGUUCGGGUUGUAAACCGCUUUCAGCAGGGGCGAAGCUUGUGGUGACGGUACCUGCAGAAGAAGCACCGGCUAACUACGUG